rnacentral:rRNA from 1 species
AUGGCGGCCGCCGUGAAGGUGUACGGGGCGGCCAGGUCUUGGAACAUAGCCAGGGUGCUCUUGAUCCUGGAGGAGGCCGGCAUCGAGUACAAGGUCAUCGCCGUCGACUUCGCCACCGCCAAGCACAAGAGCCCCGCCCACCUUGCCAGGAACCCAUUUGGUCAGGUGCCUGUCUUGGAGGAUGGUGACUUCUGCCUCUGGGGAGAAGUUAGAACGAGUACAAGAUAUGAUAGAACACAGGACACGGACGCAAGGGCGUGA